AAAUUUUCGUAAACGUAGAAAACAAAGAUGGCGGACCAUCAUUUACAACGUUCGUUUCGAAGAUCAUCGUUUCUUUCGUUCUUUGUUAUCGUAAUUUGUUAUUUUUAAAGUGAAUACAACGUAGUUUGAUUUCUUAAUAACGUCGAUAUCUUUUACUGUUUGCGUGUUUAUUGUUUAGGCGAAAAAAGCGAGGACGCUUUACGCUCGAUGGCAAUCUCAUUAUUUUUUUUCGUUUUUCACUCUUCGAGGACGUGCACGCAAUUUGAUGAAUCGUAAUGAAGGAUUUUCGUGGCGCGAGUAUUUACUCGUUCGUGGUCUAUUAUUUCCCUUGGAAAUAAUUGUUUCAACAGGGUCAUACGAUUCAAAGAGAGAGAGAGAGAGAGAGGAGAGAGAGAGAAAGAGAGAGAGAGAGAGAAAGAAAGGUUAUGAGACGAGAGACAUUGAUGAUUCUCUUCUACGCUUUACUUUAUUCUUAUAGAAAUUUCAUCGAUCUAUGUUUCACUCAUUAUAAUGUUUUCAAAGUUACGAAAAAGAGUAUUAAUGAUAUUAAAAAAAUGAUAAUCAUGUUAAUUUUUUCAUCGAUUUCAUAUUUUUAUAAAAAAAAAUUCUUCAUUGUUUUUAUGGGAGUUAGUUAUGGGAUCGAUAAAAUUUAUUCGAACGAUAAAAGAACUUUCUUUUAUCCGAACGAUAAAAGAACUUCCUUUUAAUGGAAAUCGACAGAAAUUCGUCACGAUUCGUUCAAUCAUGUACAUAUUUAUGUACUUACGUACAUAUACGAGUGCAUGAUCAAACGAAUAGUAAAAGACGAUUAAAGGAGAAAAGUCAAAAUUACGAUGAAAAAAGAGACAAAAGGAAAAGCAAUAUAUCUAUGUGAAAACAAUCUCAAUAUGGGUGGGUCGUAUGUUCUUCGCGAUGUUUUCACAUUUCCGCUAUUCGCAAAGUCGAUUUCCACGCGAUCAGUAUAAUUACAUUAUUCGUUUAAACAGAACUACGCCCAAGUAAUAAUCGUAAAUCUAAAUUGGACCAAUCAACGAUUAACCUUAUAAUCAUUUAUCUAUUAUAAUAAUUACGGGUGUAAUAGCUUUGAUCAAAUUAAUUCAUUACGACAUUUGUAUUAUUCGCGUGGAAUACGUAAGCACGAAUUUUGUAAGAUAAAUUAGCCAUCGAUCGAUCGAAUUUAAUUAUUUUUCUUUCAUUUAGAAAAAUUAUAACAUUUUGCCAAUUAUUUCCAUUGAAUGUAAUAUUAUAAUAUGCAAGAUUAAUUUAAAUAGAAAUAUAGGUUAUAUUUAUGGUAUUCAUCGUCUUUUGCUUGAAGCGUGUAUGACUUUAGCGACACGUACGGACAAAAUGCGAACUAAAAGCGCAAGCUAGUCCCAUUGUAGGAAAUCAUAAAAAAAAAGAAAUAAAGAAAAGAAAAAUAGCACUUAAAGAAAAAUCUCGUAGAUGGUGCGUAAACGAACUCGUUUAUUUUUAUAAAAAUAAUAUAUAACAUCACAGAUCAUCGUGAAACUUAACGUCAAUCAUCAGUCGAGAAAAUGAAUACAAGAGAUUGGUAUAUUAAACUUUUACUGAAAUAUGUGGAAAACAAAAUAAUAAAUUAAUUGAUUAUAUUAAUUUACAUCGAUACAAAAUAAAAUUAACAAAAUCAUCGAACCUACGAUCCAUGAAUUAUGAAUUUAAAUGCUUGAUAAUCUGUUACACAUUCUUUACAAUAUCUUUGGAUUUUUGAUAUAUAAAAUAUAAAAAAAAAAAAAAUUACAAAUUUUUCAAAAAUUUAAUCAUAUCUCUGACAACUUAGAUUCAUCGACAUGAACGCUUAUUUUCUUAUAUUUGCGUUAAAAUAUUCUGUCCUAGUUAAACUUUCGUCUUUAAAAAGACACCUUUGUUCGUUAAAAUCGAUAAAGAAAUCAUGCCUGUUCUCCAUUGUUGUCAUAAACUGUUAUAAAACCGAGUUUGAUGAAUAGCAUUAAUAAUCGAUUAUAACAGGUUAUGUUAAUUUGAGAUCAAUCGAAUUAUUAUAUCACUAUCGAUUAUUGGAUUCUCAUUUGUUUUGCGAUAAAUAAAUCUUGUUUUAAUUUUA